rnacentral:rRNA from 1 species
CUGGCGGCAGGCCUAAUACAUGCAAGUCGAGCGCAUUCUUCGGAAUGAGCGGCGGACGGGUGAGUAACGCGUGGGAAUAUGCCCUUCUCUAAGGAAUAGCCUCUGGAAACGGAGAGUAAUACCUUAUACGCCCUUCGGGGGAAAGAUUUAUCGGAGAAGGAUUAGCCCGCGUUAGAUUAGGUAGUUGGUGGGGUAAUGGCCUACCAAGCCUACGAUCUAUAGCUGGUUUGAGAGGAUGAUCAGCCACACUGGGACUGAGACACGGCCCAGACUCCUACGGGAGGCAGCAGUGGGGAAUCUUAGACAAUGGGCGCAAGCCUGAUCUAGCCAUGCCGCGUGAGUGAAGAAGGCCUUAGGGUCGUAAAACUCUUUCGCCAGAGAUGAUAAUGACAGUAUCUGGUAAAGAAACCCCGGCUAACUCCGUGCCAGCAGCCGCGGUAAUACGGAGGGGGUUAGCGUUGUUCGGAAUUACUGGGCGUAAAGCGCACGUAGGCGGACUGGAAAGUUGGGGGUGAAAUCCCGGGGCUCAACCUCAGAACUGCCUCCAAAACUAUCAGUCUAGAGUUCGAGAGAGGUGAGUGGAAUUCCAAGUGUAGAGGUGAAAUUCGUAGAUAUUUGGAGGAACACCAGUGGCGAAAGCGGCUCACUGGCUCGAUACUGACGCUGAGGUGCGAAAGUGUGGGGAGCAAACAGGAUUAGAUACCCUGGUAGUCCACACCG